rnacentral:rRNA from 1 species
AUAGUGAUAUUAAGCAAAACCCAAAAAAGACAGUCUCAGUUCGGAUUGAAGGCUGAAAUUCGCCUUCAUGAAGCCGGAAUUGCUAGUAAUGGCAGGUCAGCAUACUGCCGUGAAUACGUUCCCGGGCCUUGUACACACCGCCCGUCACACCAUGAGAGUUGGGGAUACCCGAAGCCUGUGAGCUAACAGUAAUGAAGCAGCAGUCGAAGGUAGAAUCAAUGAUUGGGGUGAAGUCGUAACAAGGUAGC